CAUGCUCAGCUCAGGAAGUUGCUGAUCUAUGAAAGGAACAGAAAAAAAAAAGGAUAAGGUCAGCAUGCAGGAAUCGUGGCUAGAAAAAUAAUUAAAUACAAAAAGGCUCCACAUGUAUAAUCAGAUCGUGGAACCAUUCUUGUGAAUAUCAAUUUGUCCCCAAUCAAGGAACCUAUACAAACAAACGCUAUACACAUCACUGCUAGAUACUACACCCAUUUUUUGUAUGCAUAUAGCACGGCUUACAUAAUUGGCUAACCACAAUAUUAUUAUUUUUUGAAAGGUCACAGGUCAAACUGCCCACCUGAACAUUUAGUUUACCAAAACAGCAAAGCAGAAGCUUACAUGUUUCGCGACACCACAGCCAGGAGGUUGUCGAGCACCGAAGGUACAGCGGGCAAAGCAUGCCAAAACAACAGCAGCUAGAUGGAAGACGAAAAUAUCAGGGCCUAGCGCAACACCACCUCCAAAGCACGAUGUUAGCGGCAAUGUUGAGCCACCAGCUGGAGGUGAUCACGUAAAAUACCUGAACACUAUUAAGGUAUCCCCGUAAGUGAAAAGAAAACCAACAAUACCUAAAGUUUCUCAUCCCUUGUCUAUGCUUGCAUAUAAUGCUGAGGAAACUGUGGACGUUAUGUCAGGGGCAUUUUCCAAUUUGUAUUUCUAUUUUGAUAUGUCACAGUGCUAAUUAAUUGUGUAAAAAACAUGCUCAACAAUGUUGGUAGGUUGGCAACAUCAACUUCCAUGGCAAGGGAGCAAAAUGCUACCAGACAACAGAAAACAGGAAGAAGAGGAAGGAGCAGAAAUGGAGGCAGAGGAGGCACCUGCAAACAUGCUCAACAAUGAUGGUUCUCCUCAGCUCAGGAAGUUGUUCAUCUAUGAAAAAAAAACAUAAGGGUCACAAUGAAUAGUGGCUAGAAACAUAUUAAAUCCAAAAAGCAUCUACACGUAUAAUCAGAUCAUGCAACAAUUCUUGUGAAUAUCAAUUUCUCCCCAAUCAAGGAACCUAUACAAAUAGAAGUUUUACUUAUAGUCCACCCAAUAUCAUGGCUUACAGAGUGAACACUGGUAUGUUAGCCCCCAAAAUACAAUGCAAACUAGCAAUACCUCAAGUUUCUCAGCCCUUGUCUAUGCUUGCAUAUAACGUUGAGGAAACUGCGGUGUGGACAUUAUGUACUUCAAGAAUUUACUUCAUGGCAUUUUCCAAUUUGUAUUUCUAUUUUGAUAUGUCACAGUGCAAAUUAAUUGUGUAAAAACAUGGUCAACAAUGUUAGUAGGUUGCAACAUCAUCUGCAAUCGCAAGGGAAUAAACAGCUACUACCAGACAAGAGAAAACGGGAAGAAGUGGAAGGAGUGGAGAUGGAGGCACCUGCCAACUAGACAAUAAGUCGGCCUGAGCAGUCACCGGGCAGGGGCCACCGUCAAAGGCAUCAGCUGCACAGGCAGGCGGAAGCAGGUGCGGUGUACUCCUCGCAAACUCUUGAUCUUCUCCAAGAAAGUUGAGAUCAAACAUAUACAGGGUUCAUUUACAUUGUCACCACCUCAGGAAUUGUGGAUCU
rnacentral:lncRNA from 1 species